rnacentral:rRNA from 1 species
AGCAGCCGCGGUAAUUCCAGCUCCAAUAGCGUAUAUUAAAGUUGUUGCAGUUAAAAAGACUCGUAGUUGAAUUUCGGGAUUGACGUGACGGUCGUGCCUUAAGGGGCGUGAACUGUCGCCGUCGAUUUCUCACCUUCUGGAGAAGCUCGAUGUCCUUAAUUGGAUGUCUUGUGGAACCAGGACCUUUACCUUGAAAAAAUUAAGAGUGUUUAAAGCAGGCAUUUUGCUCGAAUACAUUAGCAUGGAAUAAUAGAAUAGGACGGCAUGGUUCUAUUUUGUUGGUUUCUAGGAUCACCGUAAUGAUUAAUAGGGAUAGUUGGGGGCAUUAGUAUUCAAUUGUCAGAGGUGAAAUUCUUGGAUUUAUUGAAGACUAACUACUGCGAAAGCAUUUGCCAAGGAUGUUUUCAUUAAUCAAGAACGAAAGUUAGGGGAUCGAAGACGAUCAGAUACCGUCGUAGUCUUAACCAUAAACUAUGCCGACUAGGAAUCAGACGAUGUUUAAAUUUUUUAAUGACUUCGUUU